rnacentral:rRNA from 1 species
UGCCUACGGGACGCAGCAGUGAGGAAUAUUGGUCAAUGGGCGGGAGCCUGAACCAGCCAAGUCGCGUGAGGGAAGACGGUCCUAUGGAUUGUAAACCUCUUUUGUCGGGGAGUAAAGAGACCACGUGUGGUCAAAAGCGAGAGCACCCGAAGAAAAAGCAUCGGCUAACUCCGUGCCAGCAGCCGCGGUAAUACGGAGGAUGCGAGCGUUAUCCGGAUUUAUUGGGUUUAAAGGGUGCGUAGGCGGGACGGUAAGUCAGCGGUAAAAAUGCGGAGCUCAACUCCGUCGAGCCGGUGCAACUGUCG